UGUUUCUUUAGUUUUUACUUUGGUAAACAAGUAAGGUUCAAUGUUGAAAAAGAAAAAUACAACUUUACCAAAUUAAUCGACUUUUCACGUUCCAUCAAAAUUAGUCUACCUUUUAGACUUUACAACUUGCCCUAGCUGUUCGCUCCCGUAUCGAUUUCAUUCUCUGUUUGUAUCCGAUUUGAUUUCGUUCGCCGUUUUUCAUCCGCAUUCGUUUUGAUUCUGUUCGACUCUGUUCUCUACCUUACGCCACCGUUUUGAUUAGGUUCUCUGCCAUUUUGAUUAUUUAUAAUGUACUCUUCUAUAGAUUUGUUUAUCUAAUCUCAAGGGUGGGUUAUUGCUUGGUUUAUCUAAUCUCACUAGUGGAAAUGAUGAGACUGAUGGAUGAGGCUUUCUCGUCUAUUGAGGGACCCAUUUCAGAAGAAGCUCUUGAAAACGUCUGAGCUGCUUUAGGAAUAGAUGAAUCUCCCCAGGAACACAUGAGGCGCAACUGGUCUAUUUGAAUAAGGUCUUUUGGGAAAUUAGACCAAUUGAUAAUGUUUCAGUGCAUUGUUUGAAAUUAGACUUUUGGGGAAAAUGGGAGAGAUGAAUCUCCUUAGGAACACAAACCACCUAUUAAGUACAUUCGCCUUCAUGAGUGUGACAAAUUUUCUGUAAGGAUAUAGAUUUUUUUUCUGUAUUCUGCGGCUUGUCCAUGUUUACUCUUUGUUACUCUAUUUGAAUAUAUUUUUAGCUUGGAUUUGACCAUGAA